rnacentral:rRNA from 1 species
AUUGAACGCUGGCGGCGUGCUUAACACAUGCAAGUCGUGCGGUAACAGGCGUAGCAAUACGUGCUGACGAGCGGCGAACGGGUGCGUAAUACAUGGGAAUCUGCCCUUUAGUGGGGAAUAACCCGGCGAAAGCCGGGCUAAUGCCGCAUAAGAUCUUUCGGAUGAAAGCGGGGGAUCGUAAGACCUCGCGCUGAUGGAUGAGCCCAUGCCGGAUUAGCUAGUUGGUGAGGUAACGGCUCACCAAGGCGACGAUCCGUAGCUGGUCUGAGAGGACGGCCAGCCACAC